CUCAGAAAGCGUAGAAUCUGGAGGAAACCCAAGAGAACAAAGAGAAGUUAAAAUGAGGUGACAUCAGAGACCAGAGAUCAGGAUCGAGAUGAAGGAAUCUGGAUCGAAAUUGCAAAACAAAAUCCCCAAAUUUGAAGCAGGAACUAAAGUAGGACUUGUCGCUGAGAGGAACAUACAGUACAGGUCACGGGGAACGUCAUCGGACAUCGAGGCAGGAUAC